UACGUAGGGGGCAAGCGUUGUCCGGAUUUAUUGGGCGUAAAGAGCGUGUAGGCGGCCAGGUAGGUCUGCUGUGAAAACUCGAGGCUCAACCUCGAGACGUCGGCGGAAACCAUCUGGCUAGAGUCCGGAAGAGGAGAAUGGAAUUCCUGGUGUAGCGGUGAAAUGCGCAGAUAUCAGGAAGAACACCCGUGGCGAAGGCGGUUCUCUGGGACGGUACUGACGCUGGAGACGCGAAA
rnacentral:rRNA from 1 species